CGACGCCGCGUGAGGGAUGACGGCCUUCGGGUUGUAACCUCUUUCAGCACGGAAGAAGCGAAAGUGACGGUACCUGCCUAAAAAGCGCCGGCUAACUACGUGCCAGCAGCCGCGGUAAUACGUACGGCGCAAGCGUUGUCCGGAAUUAUUGGGCGUAAAGAGCUCGUAUGCGGCUUGUCACGUCGGAUGUGAAAGCCCGGGGCUUAACCCCGGGUCUGCAUUCGAUACGGGCUAGCUUGAGUGUGGUAGGGGAGAUCGGAAUUCCUGGUGUAGCGGUGAAAUGCGCAGAUGUCAAGAGGAACACCGGUGGCGAAAGCGGAUCUCUGGGCCAUUACUGACGCUUAGGAGCGAAAGCCUGAGGAGCGAACAGGAGUAUAUACCCUGGUAGUCCACGCCCUGGACGUUGGGAACUAGGUGUUGGCAACCUUCCACGUCGUCGGUGCCUCAGCUGAUGCAUUAAGUUCCCCGCCAGGCGAGUACGGCCGCACGGCUAAAACUCUGAGGAAUUGACGGGGGCCCGCACAAGCAGCGGAGCAUGUGGCUUAGUUCGACGCAUCGCUGAUAACCUUACCAAGGCUUGACAUAUACCGGAUAGCAUCACAGAUGGUGCCCCCCCUUGUGGUCGG
rnacentral:rRNA from 1 species